rnacentral:misc_RNA from 1 species
UGUGAUUCUGUUCCUCCUGUG